rnacentral:rRNA from 11 species
AAAUGUUGUGUUAGCAAACCCUAAAGGCACCAGGUCCUCCCUGAUCUUGGGAAGCUAAGCAGGGCCAGCCCUAGUCAGUGCUUGGAUGGGAGACUGCCAAUGAAUCCCAGAGCUGUAGCCUGUA